UAUAAGUUAGCAACGGGAAUGAAAUUUAUGUUAUGUCUCUUUACCUCCAAACAACUAAAAAAAAGUUUGGAGGAAAGAGAAUAUUUAUAUAGUAAUAAAUACCUAUUAUUAAAGCUCUUUAUGUUAAUAAUUUAACUUUUAAAAAAGAUAGAAGAUAGAUUUUUAUGUUUUUAAAAUGAAAAUUAGGUUUUAAAGAAAAAUUCUGGCGAAACCUGUGCCAGCCGCCGCGGUUAUACAAGUAGGGUGUGGUAUUGCUUAUAAGAGUAAAUAUUUAUUGAAUUGAAAGGUUUAUUAAUUAGGUGAAAUUAUUAUUUUUUUUUCUUUUUUAAAAUUUUUUAAAUUUAUAUUUAAAAAUAGGAUUAGAUACCCUAUUAUUAUAAAAUGUUAGAUUGGUAGUAACUUUAGGGUUGUUAAAUUUAAAGAAUGUGGCGGUAUUUUAAGCUUUUUAGAGGAAUUUAUUCUUUAAUUGAUAUGACUCAUAAAUCUUUCUUAAUUUUGUUAAACAGCUUGUAUAUCGCUAUCAUAUUAUAAUGUUGUUAGGAAAUUGUAAAGAUAAAAUUUUAUUUAAAAUGUUAGGUCAAAAUGCAGCAUAAGGUUAAGUUUGAAAUAAAUUACGAUAAUUUUUAUUGGGUCUUAUGAAAAUGAAGAUAGGAUUUAAUAGUAAAUUUUGAUUAUAAUGCUAAAUUGAAAGAAGCUCUGAAAUAUGCACAUAUCGCCCGUCGCUCUCAUUUUGAGAUAAGUCGUAACAAAGUAAAGGUACCGGAAGGUGUUUUU
rnacentral:rRNA from 1 species